rnacentral:pre_miRNA from 1 species
GCGCUCAGAGCAGCUGGUCGCGUCUAAGUACGUGUGUCUGCAUCGUCGCACAUAUUUAGCACGACUGGCUGUUCUGUAC